rnacentral:rRNA from 1 species
GGGUUGUGAGGUUAAGCGACUAAGCGUACACGGUGGAUGCCCUGGCAGUCAGAGGCGAUGAAGGACGUGCUAAUCUGCGAAAAGCGUCGGUAAGGUGAUAUGAACCGUUAUAACCGGCGAUGUCCGAAUGGGGAAACCCAGUGCAAUUCGUUGCACUAUCGUUAACUGAAUACAUAGGUUAACGAGGCGAACCGGGGGAACUGAAACAUCUAAGUACCCCGAGGAAAAGAAAUCAACCGAGAUUCCCCCAGUAGCGGCGAGCGAACGGGGAGCAGCCCAGAGUCUGAAUCAGCUUGUGUGUUAGUGGAACGGUCUGGAAAGUCCGACGGUACAGGGUGAUAGUCCCGUACACCAAAAUGCACAGGUUGUGAACUCGAAGAGUAGGGCGGGACACGUGGUAUCCUGUCUGAAUAUGGGGGGACCAUCCUCCAAGGCUAAAUACUCCUGACUGACCGAUAGUGAACCAGUACCGUGAGGGAAAGGCGAAAAGAACCCCGGCGAGGGGAGUGAAAAAGAACCUGAAACCGUGUACGUACAAGCAGUGGGAGCACCUUCGGGUGUGACUGCGUACCUUUUGUAUAAUGGGUCAGCGACUUAUAUUCUGUAGCAAGGUUAACCGUAUAGGGGAGCCGCAGGGAAACCGAGUCUUAACUGGGCGUUAAGUUGCAGGGUAUAGACCCGAAACCCGGUGAUCUAGCCAUGGGCAGGUUGAAGGUUGGGUAACACUAACUGGAGGACCGAACCGACUAAUGUUGAAAAAUUAGCGGAUGACUUGUGGCUGGGGGUGAAAGGCCAAUCAAACCGGGAGAUAGCUGGUUCUCCCCGAAAGCUAUUUAGGUAGCGCCUCGUGAACUCAUCUUCGGGGGUAGAGCACUGUUUCGGCUAGGGGGUCAUCCCGACUUACCAACCCGAUGCAAACUACGAAUACCGAAGAAUGUUAUCACGGGAGACACACGGCGGGUGCUAACGUCCGUCGUGAAGAGGGAAACAACCCAGACCGCCAGCUAAGGUCCCAAAGUCAUGGUUAAGUGGGAAACGAUGUGGGAAGGCACAGACAGCCAGGAUGUUGGCUUAGAAGCAGCCAUCAUUUAAAGAAAGCGUAAUAGCUCACUGGUCGAGUCGGCCUGCGCGGAAGAUGUAACGGGGCUAAACCAUGCACCGAAGCUGCGGCAGCGACACUAUGUGUUGUUGGGUAGGGGAGCGUUCUGUAAGCCUGCGAAGGUGACCUGUGAGGGUUGCUGGAGGUAUCAGAAGUGCGAAUGCUGACAUAAGUAACGAUAAAGCGGGUGAAAAGCCCGCUCGCCGGAAGACCAAGGGUUCCUGUCCAACGUUAAUCGGGGCAGGGUGAGUCGACCCCUAAGGCGAGGCCGAAAGGCGUAGUCGAUGGGAAACAGGUUAAUAUUCCUGUACUUGGUGUUACUGCGAAGGGGGGACGGAGAAGGCUAUGUUAGCCGGGCGACGGUUGUCCCGGUUUAAGCAUGUAGGCUGGUUGUCCAGGCAAAUCCGGAUAAUCAAGGCUGAGGUGUGAUGACGAGGCACUACGGUGCUGAAGUAACAAAUGCCCUGCUUCCAGGAAAAGCCUCUAAGCAUCAGGUAACAUCAAAUCGUACCCCAAACCGACACAGGUGGUCAGGUAGAGAAUACCAAGGCGCUUGAGAGAACUCGGGUGAAGGAACUAGGCAAAAUGGUGCCGUAACUUCGGGAGAAGGCACGCUGGUGUGUAGGUGAAGCCCCUGCGGGUGGAGCUGAGACCAGUCGAAGAUACCAGCUGGCUGCAACUGUUUAUUAAAAACACAGCACUGUGCAAACACGAAAGUGGACGUAUACGGUGUGACGCCUGCCCGGUGCCGGAAGGUUAAUUGAUGGGGUUAUCCGUAAGGAGAAGCUCUUGAUCGAAGCCCCGGUAAACGGCGGCCGUAACUAUAACGGUCCUAAGGUAGCGAAAUUCCUUGUCGGGUAAGUUCCGACCUGCACGAAUGGCGUAAUGAUGGCCAGGCUGUCUCCACCCGAGACUCAGUGAAAUUGAACUCGCUGUGAAGAUGCAGUGUACCCGCGGCAAGACGGAAAGACCCCGUGAACCUUUACUAUAGCUUGACACUGAACAUUGAGCCUUGAUGUGUAGGAUAGGUGGGAGGCUUUGAAGCGUGGACGCCAGUCUGCGUGGAGCCAACCUUGAAAUACCACCCUUUAAUGUUUGAUGUUCUAACGUUGGCCCCUGACCGGGGUUGCGGACAGUGUCUGGUGGGUAGUUUGACUGGGGCGGUCUCCUCCCAAAGCGUAACGGAGGAGCACGAAGGUUAGCUAAUCCUGGUCGGACAUCAGGAGGUUAGUGCAAUGGCAUAAGCUAGCUUGACUGCGAGCGUGACGGCGCGAGCAGGUGCGAAAGCAGGUCAUAGUGAUCCGGUGGUUCUGAAUGGAAGGGCCAUCGCUCAACGGAUAAAAGGUACUCCGGGGAUAACAGGCUGAUACCGCCCAAGAGUUCAUAUCGACGGCGGUGUUUGGCACCUCGAUGUCGGCUCAUCACAUCCUGGGGCUGAAGUAGGUCCCAAGGGUAUGGCUGUUCGCCAUUUAAAGUGGUACGCGAGCUGGGUUUAGAACGUCGUGAGACAGUUCGGUCCCUAUCUGCCGUGGGCGCUGGAGAAUUGAGGGGGGCUGCUCCUAGUACGAGAGGACCGGAGUGGACGCAUCACUGGUGUUCGGGUUGUCAUGCCAAUGGCACUGCCCGGUAGCUAAAUGCGGAAGAGAUAAGUGCUGAAAGCAUCUAAGCACGAAACUUGCCCCGAGAUGAGUUCUCCCUGAGACUUUAAGUCUCCUGAAGGAACGUUAAAGACGAUGACGUUGAUAGGCCGGGUGUGUAAGCGCAGCGAUGCGUUGAGCUAACCGGUACUAAUGAACCGUGAGGCUUAACCUUACAACGCCGAAG